AGGUGAAAAAGUGGAUAAAAAAUCCAAGGUGCACUGACACACAACAUGGGUGAUGGUAAUUCUGGUGUGGUAAUACGUUACUGUUGUUUCAAGUUUGAAUAAGAACAGACAUGUGCCAUAACUUUCCAUGAAUUGUUGAACUCUAUUGACCUUCUGCACAAAGCAGACAAACUGUUACACUGUGCUGACUGUACAUUAUUCCUUCCUUUCUUGCUGUAUGGACACAGCAGGGAGUGAAGUGAACCGCAGCUGUGAAGCCCUCCAGGAACAAAAUGAUCACCUUAAUAGAUCACCAGAUCAUUCAGAAACCUCCAGUGGGGCCACAUAUACAAGCAAGGACAGACAUUGAACACCAAUGUUCAAAAAAACUACAAAAAUAAUGAGGGCAGGCAAACAAGCCCUGUAACACAACAAAUGAACACCUGUCUAAAGCAUUACCUACAUAUCAACAAAUCGGGCCAAGAUUCACAUCUUCCUUGUACCAUGAGAGAGACGUGGGUCCAGUCUAGUACUGCCUGAGGCUUGGAGGAAGCACAGAGCAGAACAUCUUUAUGGUAGGUGGGUGUUGAUUCAUUUUUUGCAUUGUAGGCAUGCAUCUGUGCUUUAACUUGGAUGCUGGAAAUAGUGAAAAAUACAGUAGCAGUCAGGUGGUUUGGGGGUGGUUUUAAUUUGAAGGUUGUUAAGCUGCAUUCUGCACCAGUCACAGGGGUCUGAUGUUGUGCAAGGGCAGACUGGCAGAAGCUAAUUGCAGUAGUCCAGCUUCCAAAAACCAAAAGAGACUGAACAAGGACCUGAGAGGCAGUGUUGUGCUAGUUACUAAAAAAUAGUAACUAGUUACAAUUACUUCAUUCAAACUCAAUUACUUUGUUGAUUACUUACACUAAAAAGUAAUGCGUUA